CCUUACUUCCUUCCCUUCCCUCGGCUUCCCGCUCUUGCCUCACUCUCAGCGGCUGCCUUCGCCCCUGUCUGCAGACAGCGCCGCUGGAUGCUCCCAGCUGGACUUCAACCCCACUCCUCUCAGUCCCUCUCCCCACUGCCUUCCAGACGCGCCUCUUCCCCGCCCCGCGCCCCUCUCUCCUCUCCCACCCCUGCCCCUCUCCGCGGCGCUCACCCUCCUCAGUCCCAGUUUCUGAAAGGACUCAGCUGAGAAAGGACAACUGGGUUCCGCUUUCCUUAACCCUACACCCUUUAGCUGGAUGCUGUCAGAGGCGAUGGAGAAACGCAAAGGUGCGUUAAUUUUACUCUAGCCAGAGUAUAAAAGAACUGCCCACGCCAGCUAUUGUACUACGCAGCUUCGAAACUCCUGCACGCUCUCCUGUGUGGCUCCCGUCCGUGAUGGGACUGUAGUUGAGGAGCUCGGUCUCAAAUGGUGCCUUCCGUCAGUGACCUUGAGUCGGUUGCCUAAGAUUUUAGAUUUUCCUUUUCCUUCCUGGGAGGGGCAUUAUUUAUACCUUUGCAGUCCCACAAACAGUGUUUAGACCAAAUAAGUAUCCUUUAGUAAACCUAGAACUGCCAAGUGAUCAUCAUUUUGCCCGUUUGUUCCUACUCAACCCAGCAGACAAUUUGGGUCACGCUUCAGUUCUGGCAGUAAAGACAAACUGAGUCAGCAGUUAGGAGUGGACUCCCUUAAACAACAGAGUUAGAGUGGGGAAGUGGUCAUAACAUCGCUGUAAUCACAAACUUGUUUUUCCUAACACUGCAAUCUACAGAAGUUUCAGGAUUUCCUCUAAUAAACAUAAGGCUACUAGACGCAACAAUAGAAUUACCAUAUUGUUUUUCCUGGUUUGAAAGGACCAGAUGGAAAGAAACUGGGCAAGCCAAUGAAAGUCUCUGGGGAUCAUGGGAAUUGAGUGUCUAUGAAAACCAUAUUCCAGACAAGAAUAUAGUCUAAGGUUUAUGGGACUCCCCAGUACUCUCCAUGUAGAGUCUAAUGUAGAAUCCAGGAGUGCACAGAAAAGUCACUGGAUGACACAGCAAGAGGCAACAUUUUGGAAGCAGAGGGCAACUCUCACUGGAAACCAAAUCUCCUGGCACCUUGAUCUUGGAUUUUACAGCCUCCAGAACUGAUAGCUGGGAGGCAUUACAUAGUCAUGUGCGAGGUCAAAACUGAGUCACCACCACAACCAAGUUCCAGCUGGCAAGAAGAGGAAAAAUAACACAGAGGAGUUAUGACCAGUGUUGUAAGGAUCUGGCCUAGAAAUGGCAUGCAUCUCUUCCACUAAUAUCCUAUUGGUAAAAAUGUAGUCACAUGGGCACACCACCUAUCUGCAUGGAAGGCUGGGAAAUGUUGAUCGGUAGGGCAGCCAUAUGUGUAGGAAGGAGAAAACAGAAUUUGGUGGAUACCUAGUAGUCUCUGCCAUACCCUUGACCAGAAAUUUUUCUUCUAAAGAAUUUAAUUCUAAAAGUUAUAGACAUUCCCAAAGAUAUACCUGCAAGCAUCACAGCUUUGUGUAUAAUUGCAAAAGUUGAAAUCAACAUGAAUGCCCAAAAUAGUGAAUUAUUUAAACAGAUUAUUACCCAUAUUAUGAAGAAAUACUCUGCAACUCUUAAAAAUAAAUGUAAUGUGCCAGGCGCAAUGGGAUAUGCCUGCAGGCCCAGCUACACGGGAGGCCAAGGCAGGAGGAUCACUUGAAAUCAAGAGUUCAAGUCUAGCCUAGACAACAUAGUGAGACUUGGUCUCUAAAAAAGAAAAAAAAAAAUAAAACUGAUGUAAUGAAUAUAUAAUUACAACAAAAGAGGUCUAACACUAUAGUAGAAAAGUUUGGGGCACUCAUCCCAUUCAUAAUUAUUUUACAUUUAAAUUACUGUUCCUACUUAAGUGGUGAGCUUGGUAACCAUUUUCAUAUCAGGUGAUACUGCUGCAGUAAUCAUAGCUGUUUGAAUCAGGAAUAAUCCCAAUCACAUUUUCUCUUAAUCGUUUAUUAUACUGGGCAUUGGGGUUGCAAGAUAAUGCACAGUCCGAGCUCAAUACAUGUCUUCAUGUACCUGUAUGUAAAUCCCACUUUUAUUCUAAAAUUCUUUGAAUAUUUUGUUUCUUGGAACCCAAUGAUCCUAAGAAAAUUAUGUACUUUUACCUGAAAAUUAAAACCAAUAUUUAUAAAAAGUGUAUAUGCAGUAUGAUACCACUUUUAAAAAAAGAUAAAUUUAUAGAAAAAAGUUUAUAUGACUGACAACAAUGUCUCUGAGUGGUAGGAUUACAGUUAAUUUUUAUUUUCUUCAUUCUACUUAUCUUUAUUUUCUGAACUUUCUACAAUGAACAUGUUUUAUUUUUACUUUUGUUAAAAUAAAUAACAUUUAAUUUGACGGAAAAUUCUAAAAAUCAACAUUUGGUAACUUAAAUAUUCAUUGGCACAUGAUUCUGUGCCUGUUUCUGGGGGUCAUUCCCAUGAGAAGAGCAGGUAGAACUUAUGAGAAUAGAGCAGUCGAAAUAUUAUAGGUUUCAUAUUUUACGGCUUUAUUGAAAACAUUGAUAUAUUGAAUAUUCAUAAAUUUUAAUUUAACUUUCUUUUAUAAUCCUUAAUGUGAGGCUAAGGUAUAAGGAGAAAGGAGAUUGGUAAGGAAGUGUGAUACAUAUUGAAUCAGGUGUCAAGGUACCAUUUGUGCCUGGAUCUGACCAAUAGACCAAGGUAAAAAUCUCAAAGAAUGAGACUUGUAAUGAGAAUGCCACAAACUUGAAUACCUUAUGCACAAAACACAAACAUUGUUAUGCAUAAUGUACAUGAACCCUGAAACAAAGAUAAUGAUUUGGACCACCCAACUGAAGUGGCAUGUUAUGUUUUUGGCAUGAACAAAAGAAACAAGAGAGAAAAAAAUCAAAAUAAUUAAAAUAAAUUGUUAGAGAAAAGUUACUUUAAAAAUAGCUAUAACGCUUUGCAAUUUCAGUAACAGUUCUGCCUCUGAUGCAAUGUAAAACAUGUAUUAGACAUUCAGGCUCCACAAUAAAUUUUAAUGAGCACUACAAAUUUAGAAUAUAUAAAAAUAUCAGUAACCUAUGAAUUCAUCAACAUAACUCACUUUUCAGUUAAGUUAGGCUGAGUUGAAAUUCUACUAAGUUUUCCCAUAUUCUUGAUAAAGGCUAAAUUUGAAAUAAUUUAUUUAGAUGACUAAUUGGCAAUUUGAUAGUAGUUACAUUUUAUGUAACACUUGAUAUAAUAACCCAAAUUAAUUAGCUCAAUAUUAUCUUCUGUGGUUUAUUGAUCCAAAAGUACAUAUUUGUUAUGUAAACUUAUACUAUGUAAACUUGAAUUAGUUUUUUGCUUCCUUGAAUUAAUAAAGCCCAUUAAUGCAAAUCUAAGCCUUCAUAGACUUUUCCAAUCCUUAGUUAAAUAUUAAAAACUGAGUAUUGUAGUUAUUUGCUAGGUAUAAAAGGUGACUCAGAGUAGAGAGUAAGAUGUCAGCAAAUAGACAAUAAGAUGUCAGCAAAAGUGCCUCAAAUUUUAACUGCGUCAAGUUAAGGGCAUUGUAAAUACUGUAGUUUUAUGUAGCUUGCAACUUCUACUGAAAUGAGUUUAAUCAUGUCUUUCACAUAGCUGAAGUUUGUGUCAAGAUUUAAGCUGAUUUUCUCAUUCUUAUCAAAGUCUCACCUGGGGGUAGGGAGGGGUAGGCCUACCUCCCACCUCUAUACUAUCAUUUUAGGAACAGACAGGCAUAAAUCUGUUCAUAUGGUAGAACACAUGAUGUUAGAGUAUAUUUUGUUGAAUGCUAUGGAAUAUUAAUAUAAUUAAUUCUAAAAUAUCACCUAAAAUAUGUCAACUGAAGAUCUGACUGUACUAAAUAUGAAAAAUAAAGCAGCACAUACUUUCUCUACUGUUUUCCUGGCCAUUCAUUGUCACAAGGCUUAGCCAGUCCCUGACACCCAAUACGCUACCAAUAAGCCAC
rnacentral:lncRNA from 10 species